GGAUUUGUGCCUGAAUUUUAAGGGCCACUUUGAUAGAGUGUAUCAUGGGGGUUAAAGUCCCCCCAACUCCU
rnacentral:tRNA from 1 species